rnacentral:rRNA from 1 species
GACAGAGGGUGCAAACGUUGUUCGGAAUUACUGGGCGUAAGGCGCGUGUAGGCGGCCCUGCAAGUCGGGUGUGAAAUCCCACGGCUCAACCGUGGAAGUGCACUCGAAACUGCAGGGCUAGAGUCCUGGAGAGGAAGGUGGAAUGCUUGGUGUAGAGGUGAAACUCGUAGAUAUCAAGCGGAACACCGGUGGCGAAGGCGGCCUUCUGGACAGUGACUGACGCUGAGACGCGAAAGCGUGGGGAGCAAACAGG